rnacentral:rRNA from 1 species
ACCGGUGGCGAAGGCGGCCCCCUGGACGAAGACUGACGCUCAGGUGCGAAAGCGUGGGGAGCAAACAGGAUUAGAUACCCUGGUAGUCCACGCCGUAAACGAUGUCGACUUGGAGGUUGUGCCCUUGAGGCGUGGCUUCCGGAGCUAACGCGUUAAGUCGACCGCCUGGGGAGUACGGCCGCAAGGUUAAAACUCAAAUGAAUUGACGGGGGCCCGCACAAGCGGUGGAGCAUGUGGUUUAAUUCGAUGCAACGCGAAGAACCUUACCUGGUCUUGACAUCCACGGAAGUUUUCAGAGAUGAGAAUGUGCCUUCGGGAACCGUGAGACAGGUGCUGCAUGGCUGUCGUCAGCUCGUGUUGUGAAAUGUUGGGUUAAGUCCCGCAACGAGCGCAACCCUUAUCCUUUGUUGCCAGCGGUCCGGCCGGGAACUCAAAGGAGACUGCCAGUGAUAAACUGGAGGAAGGUGGGGAUGACGUCAAGUCAUCAUGGCCCUUACGACCAGGGCUACACACGUGCUACAAUGGCGCAUACAAAGAGAAGCGAUCUCGCGAGAGCAAGCGGACCUCAUAAAGUGCGUCGUAGUCCGGAUUGGAGUCUGCAACUCGACUCCAUGAAGUCGGAAUCGCUAGUAAUCGUGGAUCAGAAUGCCACGGUGAAUACGUUCCCGGGCCUUGUACACACCGCCCGUCACACCAUGGGAGUGGGUUGCAAAAGAAGUAGGUAGCUUAACCUUCGGGAGGGCGCUUACCACUUUGUGAUUCAUGACUGGGGUGAAGUCGUAACAAGGUAACCGUAGGGGAACCUGCGGUUG